AGCUGGAGCUUGCUCCGGCCGAUUAGUGGCGAACGGGUGAGUAACACGUGAGCAAUCUGCCCUUGACUCUGGGAUAACUGCGGGAAACUGUAGCUAAUACCGGAUACUUUCCUCGCUGGGCAUCCAGCGGGGAAGAAAGAAUUUCGGUCAAGGAUGAGCUCGCAGCCUAUCAGCUAGUUGGUGAGGUAAUUGCUCACCAAGGCGACGACGGGUAGCCGGCCUGAGAGGGUGACCGGCCACACUGGAACUGAGACACGGUCCAGACUCCUACGGGAGGCAGCAGUGGGGAAUAUUGCACAAUGGGCGAAAGCCUGAUGCAGCAACGCCGCGUGAGGGAUGAAGGCCUUCGGGUUGUAAACCUCUUUUAGCAGGGAAGAAGCGAAAGUGACGGUACCUGCAGAAAAAGCACCGGCUAACUACGUGCCAGCAGCCGCGGUAAUACGUAGGGUGCAAGCGUUGUCCGGAAUUAUUGGGCGUAAAGAGCUCGUAGGCGGUUUGUCACGUCUGCUGUGAAAAUCCGAGGCUCAACCUCGGACUUGCAGUGGGUACGGGCAGGCUAGAGUGCGGUAGGGGAGAAGGGAAUUCCUGGUGUAGCGGUGGAAUGCGCAGAUAUCAUGAGGAACACCAAUGGCGAAGGCACUUCUCUGGGCCGUAACUGACGCUGAGGAGCGAAAGCGUGGGGAGCGAACAGGAUUAGAUACCCUGGUAGUCCACGCCGUAAACGGUGGGUGCUAGCUGUGGGCCACAU
rnacentral:rRNA from 1 species